GUUUGGUUUCUGAAGUUUUAUUCCUGUGAAGGAAUUUCCCAUUUGAAUGCAGUUCAGUUCUUUUGAAUGGCCCUUGUUUAUUUCCGACAUUUUUUCAGGGCCUGUCCUGCCAAAGCGGAGAUGAGCUUUUCAAUAGGUGGGAUUUGAACAUGGGCUUUUGGCAGACCAGUAUGCGGGCUAAAAGUGUGGCCCUUGGCCAAGGGCACGUGCACGCACACAUGCACACACACACACGUGCAAGGCUGCAGCCCUCUGCGUAAUCACUUGGCACUCUGUAUUGUCUUUUAAAGAGAGCAGAGCUCGGCUUGUGCUAACUGCAUCAAGAGGCGGCACAGCCCUGUGAAGGGAGCAUGCUUCAGGGCUGGCACUGAAGCGCGGAUUACCUCGGUGUUAGCUAUCUCUUUACCGCUGACUGUGUGACUCUGGGCAAGCGUCUUAACUUCUCUAAGCCUCAGAAUCCUUAUUUGUAAAAUGAGGAUCCCAAUAUCUACCCAACUCGCAGGCCUAGUGUGAGUCGAGAUGAGAUAAUGCAUGGAACACACCUGGUUCAUAAAAACUGCUUUGUCCGCAGUGGCUAUAUUAUUGUCUUUAGCACCAAGCCAAUGUGAAAACUGCUGCUGCUGACAAUCUGGGAUUGUUCUGGAUUCAAGUUAUGAAGUGCUUACUCUGAGUCUGAAGUUUUAUAUGCAUGGGCUCAGCCCCUCAAGGAGGUAUUACUAGCUUCACUUUACAGAAGAGGAGCUUGAGGCUCAGGAGUGAGUACCGCUUGCUGGAAUUGGAGCCAGGCAUCUCUGGCUGUGGGGCUUCCUAGGUGGAGCGAGUGGUAAAGAGCCUGCCUGCUAAUUCAGGAGACAUGACAUGCGGGUUCAAUCCCUGGGUCGGGAAGAUCCCCCGGCAGAGGGCACAGCAACCCACUCCAGUAUUCUUGCCUGGAGAAUCCCACAGACAGAGGAGCCUGGCAGGUUACGGUCCACAGGAUCGCAAAGACUCGGACGCGACUAAAACAAUGUAGCGUGCAUGCAUGCGUGUCUGGCUGCGGGGAGCCUGCACUGAUGGUGAGAUGUGCCAUCUUUUCAGGGACACUGGAGGUCAUGAGUGUGUGUUUGUGUGUGUGGGUGUGUGUAUUUAGCAGAGGCUGGCAACUUGCCGUGUCAGGAGGACACUAGGGCACCUGCUUCAUCUUUGCCCCAUUACAUGAGCACAGAUCGGUCUGUGUGCUGUCAGCCAAACAGCUCUGCAAAGCCCUUGCUUAACCACCUGGCAGUGGCUGAGCGUUCUGUCCUUUUGUCCAGGUUGAUCCCACACCUGCUGAGUUAUGACGCAGUGUUCCAGAACCUGUUGUUAGUCCCAAUUUUUAAUGGAAUGUCAACGGGUGGGUGACAGGCAUCCUAGCCUUUGGCUGGGGGUGGGUGGUGGUGGGUUCUAGGAUGCUGGAGGAGAUGGAAAGUCAGAGUGAAAGUCACCUUUCUUGUCUGGGUGACCAGAAGGAAGCAGAUGGUUUAAGUUCCUCCUCCAACCCCCUUCCCUCAGGGAAACAUUUUACCUGAAAUGAUGAGAUUUCAAAUUAUGCCGUCUCAGGGCUGCUUUCUGGAGGAGGGCAUGGCGACCCACUCCAGUAUCCUUGCCUGGAGAAUCCCAUGGACAGAGGAGCCUGGCAGGCUACAGUCCAUGAGGUCACCAAGGGUCGGACACGACUGAAGCGACUGAGCACACACGUACACAGGGCUGUCUCUCUGGUACCAGGACUAUAUGGCAUGUUUGGAAGAAAAGAGAAGCGAUUAGUAGGGCAGUGUGCAGACCAUGAACAAAGGAGACUUCCCCUGAAGUGGCCCCAAAUAAAGAAGGUGUGUUUUCUGAGCGGAAAUGUGAGGUAAAGGAUCCUUGUGACGACUUGAAUGGAGAGCCUGUUUCUAAGUCAUAAACAAGAACUUCUAGGCAUGAUCAGUUCAACUGGAUGAAACCUGUUUCUUGUUCCUCUCGCAAAGGUGAAAGGUCUCCCGAGGCCCCCGAGGAGAGGGCUCUUGCCAUCACUUCUGCUUACCUGGGUCCCUAAAGGUCCCAGGAGGUGGGAGGGUGCUUCCAUCAGGGCCCAGAGGUCACCCAGAAAAGUCAGGGCCUUGAUGAAGGGGUGUUGAAGGGGUGUUCCCGGAGGAAGCAUCAGUGAGUCUCAGAUGCAUCUGUGGAAGGCCUGGCGUUUCUGAGAGAAGGAAGGAGCAGUAGAGUGGAGGCAGGGAGGCUGGCUUUGGCUGCCUGGAGACCAGAACUCAUUCCUUUCUGAGGGAUCUCUGCUCCGUGAGUCAGCAGGGGAGCAGGGACCCUCUCUCAGCGAUGGCCGGUGGAGGCAGAAGCUACAGUGGAGGCAAAACUAGGCAGGCAGGUUGGACAGACUUUAAAGAUACACAUGGGUUGCUCUGUAUUGACUGGAUCUGCUUCCAGUCCUCCUAAAUCUUUCAGGUACAGGAAUCUCUUCCUUGGUGCCCCAAAGAGCUGACAGGUCCUCCAGUGAGUUUCCACCUCUGGAGGGUGCUACAGAGACUAAGCCAGUGGUGCCAGGUAUGUGGGAUCUUAGCUGCCAGGAGGAUCAAACCUUGCCUCCUACAUUGGAAAGCAAAGUCUUAACCACUGGACCACCAGGGGACAGACUCAAGCAUAGAGUUUCCACCAAAGCAGCACCGCGGAGACCCCGCCCUUCCCCCAAAUGCAAUCCAGAAAAUUCUCCUCCACCAAAUAAUAAUUGUCGCAUCCUCAAGGUCCUGGUCACAUGUGUUUGAACACUUCUGACAAGCCAGGUGUGAGAUCUGGUCAUAAAGGAUGUGGGAGGAGGCCAACUUGGAAUUGAUUUCAGGAGGAGGAGGUCUGAUGUCUCGAAGCUCAAGGUUCCAGUCACUGGAGUAUUCCAGGGAAUAACAGAAACCAUGGUCACGGUGAUGGUCUGAGAACAUUUGCGUGCUUGAUUCACCAGAGAAUCUUAGAAACUUAUGACUUUGUUCUUGGGAUGCUGCCAGUCUUUCUGGAAGUGGCUGUACUUUGGGAUGAAAGCAGCUGAGGAAAUAAAAAAGUGUUAGGUCAGGACCAACAGCCUGACGUAAAAUCCCCAGGCCAGCGUUGCAAAUGAGAGGUCAGCCAGCCCCCAGGCCAAGUGUAUUCUUGAUGGAAAACUAAUUAAUUUUCAAGAAGGAAGUAUGUCAUUGGAUAGAGUUCCUUCUUGUCUCCCCAGCUUGUAUAAACAGCUGGACUUGUAAAAUUUUCUGCAUGGAAUGCUGGUCCUUUAAGACCCAGCCUUGGCCACAUGUAUCCCAAUGUUUCCUGAUGAUGAUGCUUUCCUUGAGUGGCCCCACUGGGGAUGAAGGAAGAAGUUUCUACUGCACAUCUGGACUGGCUGUUGGUCCAAGCAAGGUGCUCCACAAAUGUGUGUGAAGAGGAGGCAUUCAUGAGACUCAGCUUCUGAACAAUUAGGAGAAAGAGGCACUUGACUCCUCCCACUUCCUCCUGCCUUCAUCCUCCAGGUCUGGUGUGCCCAGAGGGCACUGGAAGCCCACCUUUUUAUUUUUUGCCAGUCUUAGUAUUGUGUUGCUUAGCGCUGUUUUUCUUACGUAAGAGGGAAUAUCCAACAGACUUGAUAAAUGUAUUCAUUCUCGCGUGAGAGGAAUUUAACCCUUCACCCUGGUCCUGAGUGGCCUAGGCUGAAGAUUCAGAGCUUAAGCAGCUGGUUGCCAAUCAGGAUUUUGCCCCUUACUAGCUGUGAGGCUCUGGGCAAUUAUUCACUUUGCCUCUCUGAGCCUUAGUUUUCUCUUUCAUCUUAAAAACAGAAGAGUGUUCCUUGUGUUUAUCAUUGUUUAAAGUAGAAGUUCUUGGGACUCCCCUGGCAGUCCAGUGGUUAAGACUCUGAGCUUCCACUGAAGGGUUCAAUCCCUAGUUGGGAAACUAAAAUCUUUGAAUACCGUGUGCAGAGUGGCCAAAAAGAAAAAAUAGUAGAGGUUCUUAACCUGAGUCCAGGGAUGAGCUUUAAGAAAUCCAUAAACAUUCCGAUAUACCUGGUAAAUUUUUUUCUCUUUGCAUAUGUGAAUUUUCCUUCAGAGAUGAUCUGUAACUUUCAUCAAAUUCUUAAAAUGGCAUUUGACAUUUGCCUGCCUCUCCCCUCAAAUAACACCACUGGGUUAGGGAUGACACCUGUAAAUGGUAUACAGUAAAAUUUCUACUUAAAAGGUUUUAAAAAAUGCUAAUGAUUUUUAUACCUACUUUCCAGGGUUUGUAGGAUUAAAUGAGAUGAUGGACAGUAAGCUCUUAGCACAGUGUUAGACAUGCUGCAAGCACCCCAAUGCCGGAUACUGGGGUAAGAUUUUGAAACGCAGAGACUUAAUUUUCUCUUUUGUCUUCUAGAGUAUAUAACCUGUAUGCUAAUUGGGUGGUGCUAGAGUAGAGGAAGGAAGCAGAGGGGAGAUUGUGAUUUAUCCCAGAAAAACUCUCCACCAUUCGUUUUGGCGACCUCACCUAGAAGCUGGGAGUUGACUGGACAGCUUGCAUGAGUGCAGGGCCAGAACUCUCUGUCUUAGACAAGAAGUUGAGUGUGCUCCAGGGAUAUAGGCAUUAGGAGUGUUGUAUUAGGGCAGAGUAGUGAGAGUAGGG
ensembl:lncRNA